GUAGGUGGCAAGCGUUGUCCGGAAUUAUUGGGCGUAAAGCGCGCGCAGGUGGUUCUUUAAGUCUGAUGUGAAAGCCCCCGGGCUCAACCGGGGAGGGUCAUUGGAAACUGGGGAACUUGAGUGCAGGAGAGGAAAGUGGAAUUCCACGUGUAGCGGUGAAAUGCGUAGAUAUGUGGAGGAACACCAGUGGCGAAGGCGACUUUCUGGCCUGUAACUGACACUGAGGCGCGAAAGCGUGGGGAGCAAACAGGAUUAGAUACCCUGGUAGUCCACGCCGUAAACGAUGAGUGCUAAGUGUUGGGGGGUUUCCGCCACUCAGUGCUGCAGCUAACGCAUUAAGCACUCCGCCUGGGGAGUACGGUCGCAAAGACUG
rnacentral:rRNA from 1 species